rnacentral:rRNA from 1 species
CCUACGGGAGGCAGCAGUGAGGAAUCUUGGUCAAUGGCCGGAAGGCUGAACCAGCCAUGCCGCGUGAAGGUCAGUGCCCUAUGGGCGUUAAACUUCUUUUGUGCGGGAGCAAUAAUGGUCACGUGUGGCCAGACGAGAGUACCGUACGAAUAAGCAUCGGCUAACUCCGUGCCAGCAGCCGCGGUAAUACGGGGGAUGCAAGCGUUAUCCGGAUUUAUUGGGUUUAAAGGGUGCGUAGGCUGUGAGGUAAGUCAGCGGGGAAAUGCCCCCGCUCAACGGGGUGAAGUGCCAUUGAUACUGCCUUGCUGGAAUGCGGAUGCCGGGGGAGGAAUGUGUGGUGUAGCGGUGAAAUGCGUAGAUAUCACACAGAACACCGAUUGCGAAGGCAUCUCACGAAUCCGCGAUUGACGCUGAUGCACGAAAGCGUGGGUAUCAAACAGGAUUAGAUACCCGAGUAGUC